rnacentral:rRNA from 1 species
CCUACGGGAGGCAGCAGUGAGGAAUAUUGGACAAUGGACGAAAGUCUGAUCCAGCUAUGCCGCGUGCAGGAUGACGGCCCUAUGGGUUGUAAACUGCUUUUAUACAGGAAGAAAAAUUCCGACGUGUCGGAACUUGACGGUACUGUAAGAAUAAGGAUCGGCUAACUCCGUGCCAGCAGCCGCGGUAAUACGGAGGAUCCAAGCGUUAUCCGGAAUCAUUGGGUUUAAAGGGUCCGUAGGCGGUUUUUUAAGUCAGAGGUGAAAUCCUGCAGCUCAACUGUAGAAUUGCCUUUGAUACUGAAAGACUUGAGUUAUUGUGAAGUGGUUAGAAUGUGUGGUGUAGCGGUGAAAUGCAUAGAUAUCACACAGAAUACCAAUUGCGAAGGCAGAUCACUAACAAUAUACUGACGCUCAGGGACGAAAGCGUGGGUAGCGAACAGGAUUAGAUACCCUGGUAGUCCACGCCGUAAACGAUGGAUACUAGCUGUAUGUCUACUUCAGGUAGAUGUGUGGCUAAGCGAAAGUGAUAAGUAUCCCACCUGGGGAGUACGAUCGCAAGAUUGAAACUCAAAGGAAUUGACGG